UGUCAGUGCUGGCUGAAUUCAUGAGAACGGUGUUUGAGAAAGCCUACCUUCUCCAGAUUAAUGCGGACCUGAGUGUUGGAGUAACUCUGCCGUCAUUACCCAAUGUACAACUUACUAAUGAAGUGAUGGAGGUCAAGGAAGAUUACGCGGUUAUGUCCUGUGAUCUUCAAUAUGUCAAGUAAACGACAUAAAUAUACAACUCUGGAGACAUUUUACAUUCAUGUCAAGGAAUGAAUACAUUUAAGUGGUUGUCCCAUGGAAAAUAGUCUGCAUUUUUAAAGGCAUCGACUUGUAAUUGCAUGUAAUAAAAAAAUUUGUAUAGCCAUAUACUAUACAAUAAAAUCUACCUGU